GACGAACCGUGCGAACGUUGUUCGGAUUCACUGGGCUUAAAGGGCGCGUAGGCGGCUUGCCAAGUCAGGGGUGAAAUCUUUCGGCUCAACCGGAAAAUGGCCCCUGAUACUGGCGGGCUGGAGGAGGGUAGGGGCAGAUGGAACUUCCGGUGGAGCGGUGAAAUGCGUAGAUAUCGGAAGGAACGCCGGUGGCGAAAGCGAUCUGCUGGACCCUUUCUGACGCUGAUGCGCGAAAGCCAGGGGAGCAAACGGG
rnacentral:rRNA from 1 species